rnacentral:rRNA from 1 species
GACGAACCGUGCAAACGUUAUUCGGAAUCACUGGGCAUAAAGGGCGCGUAGGCGGCUUUCUAAGUCAGGGGUGAAAUCCGGCAGCUCAACUGUCGCAGUGCCUUUGAUACUGGAGAGCUAGAGGGAGGUAGGGGUCUGUGGAACUUCCGGUGGAGCGGUGAAAUGCAUUGAGAUCGGAAAGAACACCAACGGCGAAAGCACUCUGCUGGGCCGACACUGACACUGAGAGACGAAAGCUAGGGGAGCAAAUGGG